GAUGAAGAACGCAGCGAACGUGCGAAACGUAAUGUGAAUUGCAGAAUUCAGUGAAUCAUCGAAUCUUUGAACGCAUCUUGCGCUCCUUGGUAUUCCGAGGAGCAUGCCUGUUUGAGUGUCGUGAAUACUCUUAACUUCAACCCUUUUUUCGGAAAGGGAGGAAGGUUGGACUUGGGUGUUUGUUGAAGUGCGAGCUUCGACUCAUCCUAAAUGCAUUAGCGAUCUGCCUCGAUCACACACAAUGUGAUAAUUAAAACUAAAGCAUUGUUUAAUGAUCAAGUCGAGACUGCUUCUAACUGUCGCAAGACAAUAACGUGCAUACAUUUGUGCAUGUCAUUUGACCUCAAAUCAGGUAGGACUACCCGCUGAACUUAAGCAUAUCAAUAAGCGGAGGA
rnacentral:misc_RNA from 1 species